UACAGAGGGGGCAAGCGUUGUUCGGAAUUACUGGGCGUAAAGGGCGCGUAGGCGGCCUGUUAAGUCGAACGUGAAAUCCCCGGGCUCAACCCGGGAACUGCGUCCGAUACUGGCAGGCUUGAAUUCGGGAGAGGGAUGCGGAAUUCCAGGUGUAGCGGUGAAAUGCGUAGAUAUCUGGAGGAAUACCGGUGGCGAAGGCGGCAUCCUGGACCGACAUUGACGCUGAAAACCGAAAGCUAGGGGAGCAAACGGG
rnacentral:rRNA from 1 species